rnacentral:rRNA from 1 species
GAUGAACGCUGGCGGCGUGCCUAAUACAUGCAAGUCGAGCGAAUGGAUUAAGAGCUUGCUCUUAUGAAGUUAGCGGCGGACGGGUGAGUAACACGUGGGUAACCUGCCCAUAAGACUGGGAUAACUCCGGGAAACAGGGGCUAAUACCGGAUAACAUUUUGAACAGCAUGGUUCGAAAUUGAAAGGCGGCUUCGGCUGUCACUUAUGGAUGGACCCGGGUCGCAUUAGCUAGUUGGUGAGGUAACGGCUCACCAAGGCAACGAUGCGUAGCCGACCUGAGAGGGUGAUCGGCCACACUGGGACUGAGACACGGCCCAGACUCCUACGGGAGGCAGCAGUAGGGAAUCUUCCGCAAUGGACGAAAGUCUGACGGAGCAACGCCGCGUGAGUGAUGAAGGCUUUCGGGUCGUAAAACUCUGUUGUUAGGGAAGAACAAGUGCUAGUUGAAUAAGCUGGCACCUUGACGGUACCUAACCAGAAAGCCACGGCUAACUACGUGCCAGCCGCCGCGGUAA